UACAGAGGAUGCAAGCGUUAUCCGGAAUGAUUGGGCGUAAAGCGUCUGUAGGUGGCUUUUUAAGUCCGCCGUCAAAUCCCAGGGCUCAACUCUGGACAGGCGGUGGAAACUACCAAGCUGGAGUACGGUAGGGGCAGAGGGAAUUUCCGGUGGAGCGGUGAAAUGCGUAGAUAUCGGAAGGAACGCCGGUGGCGAAAGCGGCACGCUGGACCCCUUCUGACGCUGAGGCGCGAAAGCCAGGGGAGCGAACGGG
rnacentral:rRNA from 1 species